GUCCUUAUCCUAUGCUGUGUGUUCUGUCUGGCUGCCUGUGGAAGUUAUUUUGGUAUUCUCAGUUUUGUUACAUUUGAGUUCAGCAUUAAAGCUGUUUUGAGUUCACGUGUCUGCACAUCGGGUCCACUGUUUCUCCCUGCACACAGCUCAUGACAGCUAAAAGAUCUGCUCUUAUAGACGUGCCAACACUUGCUGAUGAUCAAUUAGUCAAGCACAUUUGACUAGCAGCGACUGGCUGCUUCUUACCCUUUUAUUACCUGGCAGUAAGGCUGCUGAUUGAUCAUCAACACUGACCUCAGUCUACACUGUAACCUUUGGGACCCUCAUCAGGACGACGUGUGAAACAGAAAUAAUGUUUUGACUUGGCUGGAGAGACCAAAAGGGCCCUAGAUGAUCCAGUAUGUCAUUUUAUCAGCCCCUGUCCAGCCUGCAGCCGCUGCAACCGCCAAUGCAUCAAUCACAUCACACUCCCUCCCCAUCAAUAUAAAUGCAAAUCACACAAUCUGCUAUUGCUGUGUAGAUUAUGACUUAGCAAUAGGCUGUCUGCAAAAUGAUGCUGUGAAAGGUCACCAGCUCAUUAAGUUUGGGUGAUCUCCAAGACUGGUACACGGAGUAGAAGGGGAUGAGCUGAUUCGUCUGUACACUGUAAAGAGCAACAGUAUUGCUGAUUUAAGAUAUGCAGAGCUGGGACUGCUGUAUUUGGCAGCAGCUGUAUGAUGUUUCAAAUCAUUUUCAGAAAGGUGAACCUGCCCUGGAUAUCCAUGUGACCUUUUGUCAUUUGACGCUAUGUUUAUGCCCACUGGAAAUUUCAUAUAUUUUCCAUCUUUUUUCCAGUUGCUGAACUUUUCUUCUUCUUCUCAAGUUGACAAGAGAUGAUUUAUUGCCUUUGAGAUAAUUGUAAAAUUUAGAGGCCAAAAUGUUGAGAGCUGAGCUAAACCAGGGUCGAAUUUCUGUGUGGAUUUUAAGUAACACAUGAUUUAAAUGGUUAAUAAAUGAAAAUCCCCACUGGCCAGAGCAACAAAUUACUGUCUCAUGACACGAACGUGCUUUGGACUGGCUUCUUAAUGAUAAAGCGACACACAAACACACAAAAUGUCACAGAAUGAUGACACCAAUGGAAAUUAUAUUUUAUUUUUAAUGAAAAAAGUCGGUAUUCGUCCUACAGCAUUGCAAAGUGACCA